GCAGGGGAGGGGCAGAGAGAGAGGGAGACACAGAAUCCCAAGCAGGCGCUCUGAGCUGUCAGCAUAGAGCCCGACACGGGGCUCGAACCCACGAACCAUGAGAUCAUGACCCGAGCCAAAGUCGGAUGCCUAACCAACUGAGCCACCCAGGUGCCCCUAGAUAAGUGUACUCUUAAUAUCUUUCAUCUAUCUCAUCCAUUCCCACACCUACCUCCCCUCUGGCAACCACCUGUUUGUUCUCUGUAUUUAAGAGCCUGUUUUGCUUUUCUGUCAUUUUUUUUUCCUUCGUUUUGUCAAAUUUGUCCUUGAAUUCCACAUAGGAGUGAAAUCAUAUGGUCUUUGUCUUGUUUUGCCUGACUUCUUUCACUUAGCAAUAUACCUUCUAGGUCCACCUAUAUUGUUGCAAAUGCCAAGAUUGCAUAGUUGGGUAAUUUUCCAUUGUGUGUGUGUGUGUGCACAUGUAUACACACAUUUUCCUUAUCCAUUCAUGAGUGCCUUAAAUAAUUUACUUUAAUAGAAUAAAUUCACAUUUACUGAAUAUUAAAUAAGUGCUAAACCUAAAAUCUAGAAUAGGAUUCAUUCAUCCCACAAAUACUGAUUGCUAUGAUGUAUUGGGCUUUGCCUAGUCACUGGGGAAAGAGAGAUGAAUAAAAAGAUGGUCCUUGCCCUCAACAAGCUUAUGAGCGGAAGGAACAUGUAUAAACAAAAUGAACAAAAGAAUCUGAUACAAUAAAGUGUGAGAAGGAUGCAUAAAGGAGAGAGCUUUUAACCCUAGGGUGUCAGGAGUUGUAAAGAGAAGGUGUUGCGGAAACUGACAUCUGGGCUGAUUAAAGGACAAGUAGGAGGUCACCAGGCAGCCCUUAGGACAAGGGCAGGUGGAGAGAUCGGUGGCACCGCGAUUUCUUUGGGCAAAGAAAACAGUAGUCCAUACGGAGGCAUGAAAUAGUAUUUUGUCCUACAAAACUCAGUCAGUAUUACUGGCGGGUUGGACGUGAGGCAAGCAGGUGUCAGGUACGAUGGGAGGAGACCCUGCCGGAGGUCACCAGCUGGCCGGGGCCACCUGUAUCACACCCACAUUCAUGCCCAGCUUUGAUCUCACCGGCAGUGGGAUGCCAGGGAGAGGUCUUCGGAUGAGCAAUGGUCAGACUUGCAGAUGGAUGUCUCUGGAUGAAAACAAAAUGAGAGAAAUUAUGGGUGACGGCAUGUGCUUUGCGCGAUCUGGUUAGAAAUCUUUCUCCCCAGUACUGUUUCAAUCUUCCAAAUCAUAUUUAAGAGCACUAGCCUUUCCUUUUUUUUUUUCAUCCUUCAAACUCUGUGCCAACUGCUAAUGAUGCCAGCAGCCACGACAUGGAGCGUGUGUGGGGGGCACCCACAAGCUGCCACCGCCACCCCUUUUCUCACCUGUUCCUUCAGCCGUCCCAAAGAAACAUUCCGUCUAAGGAAAGACAUUGUACUUUGCUCUGAAAGGGCAGCUUCAAGCCAAGGCUCUGAGCCCCCCUUUCCAACCAUUUGCAGCUCUAAGAAGCCCCUCUAAUAUGCAAAUGCUGGGGCAUCGCUGAGUAAGCAGCAAAUGGCUCAUAGAGGACCCUUUGAUUCUUCCAGACCUCAGAGGUCUUGCAAUGUCUUCAUUUUUUUUUUUUAAGUUUAUUUGUUUUUGAGAGAGCAAGAGAGAGACAGAACAUAAGCAGGGGUUGGGGCAGAAAAAGAGGGAGACACAGAAUCCGAAGCAGGCUCCGGGCUCUGAGCUCUGAGCUCUCAGCACAGAGCCCGAUGCGGGGCUUGAACCCACAGACUGUGAGAUCAUGACCUAAGCCGAAGUGGGACCCUUUACUGACUGAGCCACCCAGGCGCCCCAUGAUACCUUCUUUCUUGUGUAAAGCCUUUGGGAAACCUCUCUCAGUACCCCACUGGUCUACAAAUGGCUGAGAAAGGUCCCUGCAGGUGGGGUCUAGGGAGAGAGUUUCUAUCCUUCAAGAAACUGGCAACAGAUGGUUUGGCCUUUGGCUAAAUCUUCAGCUGAGUUUCCCAAAAGUAUGAGCAGGUGUGAGCUGACACAUGACCAUCUUCUAUCUGAGAAGCCAACAGCCUAGAACAACCCUGUAAAUCACAAGCAGUAUUAAUGAUCAUCUGCAAAACCGGAGUGAAUUUCCCUGCAGUACUUUCAAAACAGAAAAUUAAUAGCUACUCAUAAAUACUUUGCUUUUUUUACACAUUUAAUAAUUUUGGUUAGGCACACUGUGAUUACUUUGAUCUUUUUGAGUCUGUAGAUACCACGUGUCUUUCUUUUUUCUUUCCUUUUUUUUCUUUUUUUUUUCUUUUUUCUUUUCUUCCCAUUGGUUUUCUGCUGAGCUUUUACCAAAUGGUGGAUUGCCCAUAAGAAUGAAAACUACUUUCUUGUUUGAAAAAGUAGCAUCAAUUAGGCAGGAUAAACAGAUCCGCUGCCUAGGGUGGCCAGACUUAACAAAUAGACAUACAGACAGCCCAGUUAAAUUUGAAUUUCACAGAAACUACAAAUAAUAUUUCAGUAUAAGUACAUUCCGUGCAAUUUGGGGACACACGUGCUAAAAAAUGGCUCGUUUUAUUUACCUGAAUUUCAAUUUUAACUAGGGAUUCUAUUUGGCAACCCAUUCAGAAAGAUUUGACUGUUAGUUGAUGGUAUUUUGGCUAGGAUAUCUAGCCUGAAAAAAAAAAAUCUUCCACCCAGCUUUAUGGAAAGAAAUACGGAGAAGUAUCAUGUUGUUCAAUUAAAAAUAAUUCGAUGUCAGUAGGAUAUUAUGUAGCCAUUGCAAAGGACAUUUUGUGAUAAGUAUAUACAAAUGUGGGAAAGUGCACAUUAUAAGCUACAUGAAAAAAAAGCAGGAUGCACAAUUACAUUAUAGUAGUAAAAUAAUACCUAGCCUUCAAAGAAUGCUGAUACGUAACAAGCAUGUUCUAACUGUUCUUUGUAUUAACUUGUUUAAUACUCGCAGUUGAGUAAGUGCUGUGGUUAUCCCCAGCACGAAGAUAAAGACAUUGAAAUCCCAGAAAGGUUUACUUGCCUACUAAAUAUUAUAUUGUUACACAUAUACAUAUGUUGCCAUAUAAGCAUUCGCAGAUACGUAAAUGUAUGUUACCAAAAAGCCACAUGAAGGAAAAAAGACUACAAGAAAAUGUAACAAGCUAUAAUGUUCAUUAUUGGGGGUACAAAUAUAGUGAUUUCUAAAAUCUUAUUCCUGCAUUUUCUGUAUUUUCUACAAGAACAUGCGUUGCUUUUCAGAUAAAAUAAUAAUUUAAGUGGAAGACUGCACAAAUUAGAAAAUUCUAUUCCCAUUUUUGAUGCCCUUGUUACCUGCCCCUACUGUAUAUUAUGAAACUGGCUUUGAGGGGUUACGUACAUCACUGUAAGUUUUAACCCACCCAGGAGUUCAUCGGGAAGAUACAGGCCUCUGUCUUUGAAAUUGAGGGCACCUUUGGAAUCAGUCGAUUUAUCCAAUCCCAUGAUUCCAAGUGGCCACUGCACAGUCUGCAGAAAAUGAAACAAGAAAUUUAUCAACAGAUAGAUAGAUGCGGUUCCUGUGGCUUUUUGUACACAUUCCACUAGAUGGAACAAUACUGGCUUUGCAGCCGGCAAGGAAAAGUACAGGCAAUUUAUACAUGCCUCCAAGUCAUUUCCUCAACUUGCCCUGAAGAAUCAGUUCCUGCAGAGAAUUCUAGGUUCCUCCUACAUGAAAUAGGUCAAACAGAGAAAGACAAACGCCAUAUAAUCUCUCUGGUAUGUAGAAUCUCAAAAACAAAAACCAGCUCAUAGAUACCGAGAACAGAUUGGUGAUGGCAAAGAGGCAGAGGUUGAGAAAUGAAAUGUUUUCUUUCUUCUUCUUCUUCUUCUUCUUCUUCUUCUUCUUCUUCUCCUUCUUUCUUCUUCUUAGUUUAAAUAAAUUGAAUAUAAAUUUAAAAAAAAAAAGACAAGGUGAGGUACUUAUGUGGGGUUGGUGCUCUUAGGGAGAGGCUUUGUCUGCCAUAUGUCAGAGAGGACUUGGGAAGAGCACGAGGCAGGCUCCAAGCUAACCAUGAGCUGAGAUUGUUCCAAGGGCUCCUAUGCCAUUACUAAUAAGAAAUUUGUUUUUUCAGGAGACUGUCACCAGUAAAACAUAAGCUUCUGGCUUUUACUUUAAAGGAAAGAUGCCAGCUUCUCAGCUCAUCCUUUAAUUGCCUUCUACGUAAUAGGAGAGGUUGUUAGUAUAGAGAACAAGCCAGAACAGGGAUAGGGAAGCCAACUGCUCUCGAUUCCGACCAUGGAAAGUUCACUGGGAGGCGUGGUUUGAAUCCAACCAGAGGAUGCAGGAGACUGGACAAGAUUUCCCUUUCGCUUCAGGCCCACAGCAAAGUACAUUGCCCUCUUUCCUUUGCGAAGCAACCACCGAGCACUUCUCAGAGAAAUGCCACAAAGAUGCCUCAGCCUCGAACAAGACCUCGAGAUACCAGAGUAAAGAGGGGAAUACCGAGAAGUCUGUCCUGGGAUGCAGGACACAUAGGCCUUGAGCCUGAGAGUUGCUGAGGCCUCGGCACAGAGUGCCAGAGUAUUCUGUAGCUGCACGUCUUUCACCAGACAGCCAGCUGGCAUUCAGGCGAAUACAAGUGUGGCGUGACAUAAGGACUCAGGAUUGGGACACCGGUGUCCGGGGCCCUGGAACUGUGCAGCGGCAUGGUGGUCCCCAUGCCCUCAGCCUCGGAACCACAGUGCACACAGACCAGCCUUCCAAAUGCCUGAAUCUCUACACUGUGUUCCUUUGCCGGAGGGAGUUCUCUGAAUAUCUCCCCGUGACAGACCGAAGCACCUGAGAAUGAAUAUCUCCCCCCACCUCUGUGGUGGUCUUCAACCCAAAACCAUCAGGAACUGGGGUCUCCAGCUCCCUUCUCCCUCAGGUGCAGGAACUCCAAGCUCCACAAAGUGAAAGCACUCAAACGGAAUUCCCUGAGAGCACCAGGAAUGUGGCUUCCAAUGAAGAUGGUCGUCUCUUGCCGUGGAAUACGACAUGAAGCUUCUUGACAUCUGAAGAUUUCCAAUGUCCACUUUGAGAGCCCACCCAUCAGAGCACUGUGGCAGCAGGAGUGUGGCCGAGAUUAGAGGUUGAAGACAGCUUUCUCGAAAUGAGCUACUGGCCUCAUGAGACCUGCUGAGGGGGUGAAGUGCGCAGGGAUGAAUAAACCCUGCCAUCAAAAAUGUCACCUUCAUCCACGAGACAACAAGGUUGGUUCCUACCACUUGCCCUUGUGUGAUAGCUGUUUCUCCUGGAUUAACAUCACAUUGAUUAAUGAUGCCAGUUAAAAGCCAGAGCAUGCUGAGUGCUGACCUCCGUGAAAGAUUGCAACAUUAUGUAAAUCUAAUAAGGGGCAUAGGAAAGGGGGCAUGACACUGGAAAGAGUUUCCUUGCUCCUCUGCUUGUUACGGAUUUGCAUUAGAAUGAGGUCAGGUCAUCACAAUUUCUGUUUUAAUUUGUCAAUAGGCAAUCAUGAAUUGUAGUCACUUUCUGCCAUCCCCAACUUCCUAGGCACCGAGUGGCACAGCCUUUUCCAGUAUCGGAGAAACUUCCAAUCCUGCUGAAAUGACUUGGUACUCUAUUUCCAGACAGGAACAUAAUGUAUGUAUAUGGGAAAAUUAAGUCAAUAUUUAGCUUAAGCAUCUUUUGGCAAUACAUAGCUUUAAACAUAGAGUGCAUGUAAGUGUACCUUGACCAAAGGCUCGCCAUGUGUCAUUUGCUGAUAUAAGCAUAUCAGAAUCAUUGAAAUUCAGAAAAAUCCAGUUUUCUGCUCACACAAUAGCCCUUAUGUACCGUAAACUAGCUCAGGGACUUUGUCCUUGAUGAUUUACUAUUGGAACACUUCCAAUUAUCCCCAUGGCUCACUCCAUGAUGGGCUCCCUCAGGCCUUCACUCUAAGUCACCUUCCCAGAGAGGUCUUCCCUGACCGUUCUUUUUAAAUUUAAGCCUCAAGGGACUGACCCUGUCCCUUUCCGUGUCCCUUUCUCAUUUUCUUUUUUUCCCCUUACCUGCUUUAUUUUAUACCUAUUUAUUUUAUUUCUCUUCUAUCGGCCCCUACUAAAGUAUAAGCACUAUGAUACCAGGAAUUUCUCUCUAUAUUUUUCCCCACUGCCAAAAAUCCUUGCUUGUAGAUGAAUUCCUAGUACAUAGUAGUCAUUCAGUAAAUAUGUGUUGAAUGGUUGGAUGGACGGAUGAUCACUGGAUCUUUCAGCUGGCUGGAGUCUGGCAAAGAGAGUACAGGUCCAAAAGUAAAUAAAGGACAAGCUGAUUUCUCAGCUUUUCUCUCUCUGCAUGUUGGCAGUUGUUAAACCAUCUGCUGUACGAGCAAGCUCUACCAUUUCACUCCUGAAACCCUGUGUUAAUUACAUCGCUAUGUGGUAUUUCUUCACUUAUACUGGACAGCCAUGUGGUAAUGAUCUUUCGAGACAAUCCUAAAAGAAUAGUAUUUCACGAUUUAGUUAACAUAAGAGAUUAAGGUGGUUACUGAAGACGUGUCUGUAGGCAAUUCUCAAGUCUUUAUGUGUGGUUGAACAUAGUAUCUGCCUCAUGGGACAAACUCUUUAUAAAAGUUAAGAGUCCAGUUGUCAGAGGCACUGUUCAUACACUUACCAACUAUUCAAAUCUACCUCUUCUAAACACAUUAGAUGCUAGUUUUUAUACUGUCCUUUUCUGUGUAUAAUCAGGGACACGGUGGUCAUUAACGUCCUCAGUCAAAGGGAUAUUCCUGAUUGGUUCUGUUGGAUCCUACUUUGACUCCAGGGUCCUGCAUGACACCCCUCCAUUCCGUAAAUUGUCUAUGCCCUCUCACCUCUGUUAGAGGUGAGGUAGAAAAUGGACGUAUGGAAGUUUAGCACCUAAAGAUGACGGGUAAUCCACAAGCAAUAAGUAAGAGAGGAAAGAGUAGGCCAUUAUCCAAAGGCUCUUUGAGGUCCGCCUUAGACAAUAACCAGUGCCCAAUCUGCCUCUGUUCAGCUCCCUGGUCCUGGAGCUGGCAGGUCCUUCUUUUGGUACAUACCCCAUUCCUUCUCUUCCCCGCUAUCGGUCAGCCCUCCCCUCUCCCUUUUCCUGAUACAGUUUUAUUUAAAGAUGGAGGUAAAACUCGGCUCCAUGUACCCUAAAAGGUCCCCACUUAGAAUGGGCUUUUCUAUGAGCCUUUGUGUUUGCUUCACUGAGGCUGGAAGAGGGGAAAAUGGUCACAGGGAACAGAACAUCUGGCAAGCACAUAAAUUAGUAUUUCAGGAUUUAACCUUUUAGCUUGCUGAAUGCAAUCCUCCACAUCUGAGGAUUACUCUGAGACCCACUUCUUGCUUGAGACCUGUUGACUCUACUCCAUUUGGCAUAAGUUAUCCCCUCCUCAGAAGUACCGUGUCUGCAUCACUCAUUUGUCUCUCCUGAACACACUUCAGUCUUGCUCUAGUUUUUUUUCUGUUGUGUUUUAAUAUCUUCUAAAUUCACCUUUUGUUUUGUCUUUCUACCUAUGUGAUCAACUCCUUUAGAGCAAGGAAGAUUCCCAAAAGUAUUUUGCAAGCCUGUGCCUCCCACAUAAUAAGCAUUCAGCAAAAAUCUGCAGAUGCAGUGGUCAAGUCCCAAUCUGGAAGCACCUGCAAGGUACAACUGACUACGAGAGGCAGGAUGCUCGUCGACAUGAAGUGGUAUUCUGCAGCUUUCGGUGCUCUAAAGCUCUCCAUUACCAAGGGAAAGGAUUUCCACUCAAUUAGAUCACAAAAUAGAGGAUUAUGCGGUUUGAGUCCCAACAUGGGGAAGACUUGAAGAGAUUGUGUGUCAGAAAAACUAACUGAAGACAAGAGCUACAAUGUGUGUUAGCACGGAGGCAGUGUCCGCCCCAAGAACAGUCAGGUAUAUGUCUUCCUUUGUGCCUUCAGAGGGCUGUGUUGAGGGCUAGCACUCAUUUCCAGGAGAAAUGAAUCACGCACCCUCAGAUUGGAUGUGGCUAGCUGGGUCUAGAGGGUGUCAGUCUUUGAGCUGCGCACCGUCUAACGUCAACACUUCGUUUACUCACAAUAUAAAUUAAAUCCCUGAGCUGGAACAAGCCAGGGGAGAGACAGCAGGCUAGACUUGUCAUGGCAGGAAAGAGUAAAACACAGUGUAUCCUCACAAAACAUAUUAAAGAUGUAAAUUUGGGUAGGAAAAAUCCCGUUACGAUUAUUGCUUAUUAAAUGUUGUUACUUAAUCUGAAUUCUUCCAGGAAAUUUGAGUUUACUGAAUUCAGCUUGGUAGGACUCAGUGGAAUAAAGAAAAGCUGAAAGAAAGAGUGUUAAAUUCUCCACCUGGUUUGGUUGUUGAUUUCUCUUUAACCUAUAGGUGGUUCAUUGUAUUCUGCCCUUGACAGACUGUUAAUAAAAUUAUGGUCAGUUUGGGUGUUUAGUUUUCCGAAUGAGGUUUUGCUGAUGGGAUCAUUUGAUAAAGCCAUGGACUCACUAGGACAAAGGCACACGUCCCAGAACCCAUAGGAGCCUUUUUGCUCUCACUGCCACUCACUGUACCCCAGUAUAUUCACACUGCUGGUCACCAGGAGGACCAGAUGAAAAAGGGUGAAGACAGCAGCAUGUGGUUGAUGCUCAACAAAUCAUUGUAGAAGGGACGUUGUUUGAAGUUAUAGCUUCAGAUGUCACUUGGAAGCAGUUAUCAAUAAAUGUCAUCCCUAUUUAGCUAACUUUGAUUCUCCCGUAUUGGAGAAUAUAUAUGAGGAUGAAGCCUGAAUGGUACUAAAACUAGUAAUUUACAUGUGUAACCAAUAUGGAUUUUUCCACUUAGGUCAAUAAAUGUCACCAUCUGCGGGGCAUUCGAUAACUAGCUCCCUAUGUGUGCGCGUGCGCGCGCGCGCGCGCACACACACACACACACACACACACAGGGAAGGUUCCAGGUCUACAGGACGCACCACCCCAGGCUAUGCUAUGUGGCAAACCUAUCUAGUCUGCAAUGCCCAGGGGGCCCAGGUGAGAAAACUAACAGGUUUUCUGUUUGAAAUUGGUUCCCCAGAGCCCAGCAACCUCUUUCUUCCUCCUUAUUUGGGGUGGAGAACAUGAAAGAAAAAGCUAUUAUAUACCCGCUGAGUAAAGAACCUAGAAGGGGAUUCAAAAAAACCAGAUCCAGGGGCGCCUGGGUGGCUCGGUCGGUUGGGUGUCCAACUUCGGCUCAGGUCAUGAUCUCACAGUUCGUGGGUUCGAGCCCCACGUCGGUUUCUGUGCUGACAGCUCAGAGCCUGGAGCCUGUUUCAGAUUCUGUGUCUCCUUCUCUCUCUGCCCCUCCCCUGUUCACGCUCGGUCUCUGUCUCAAGAAUAAACAUUAAAAAAGAAAUUAAAAAAAAAAAACAAACUAGAUCCAACCUACAGAAAAUUUUUUUUGCCUUCUAGAGAGUUAAAAAUUUGGAAAGUUUUGUCUAAAUAUGUGGUUUGCAGCUGCUCCAAAAUAACGGAAGAGCUAGCAUCACUGGAAUGACGUUUCCAUGUGGAGCUAGUCGGUGAGACCUGAGUAACAGCCACUCUUUUCAGACGGCCCUGUUCAGUGCCCGCCUAGCCUAAACAUUGGGGUUGAGGGCAAGAGGGCUACAGUACAAAGAGAGCUCAAGGGGCGCCUGGGUGGCGCAGUUGGUUGAGCGUCCGACUUCGGCUCAGGUCAUGAUCUCACGGUUCGUAGGUUCGAGCCCUGCGUCGGGCUCUGUGCUGACAGCUCUGAGACUGGAGCCUGCUUCAGAUUCUGUGUCUCCCCCUCUGGCCCUCCCCUGCUUGCAUUGUCUCUCUCUUUCUCUCAAAAAAUAAAUAAAACAUUAAAAAAAGAAAGAGACCUCAAAAAUACCAACGAACUUAUCAAUAAGAUUCCAGAAUAUUUGCAUUCUUCACUUCCCUUUCGGCUGCCCUCAGCAUGCCCUUUUGUAGCCAUUGGUUUUAGUGAAUGUUUUCAUUAAACAUCCUAUGAACGUUUUCAGAUAACAAUAAAUAAUGAUAGCUAACUUUUACUGAUCUCCCACAGUGUGCCGUGCACUCUGUUAACCGACAUAUGUCCUAUCUUUUCAUUAUUCUAAGAACACAGAGAUAUAGUUACAACUACUAUCUCCUCUUUAAAGACAGUAAACAAGCUUGGAAAGUUUAAAAAAUGUGUCCCAAGGCAGAAAGCUAGGAGAUGGUAGGGAUAGUUAAGCCCAGAUAGCAUCACUCUUAGCCAUUAGACCACACUGCCUCUAACGGGAAACCCACUGUUUCAUUAUUAUUGAUUUAAUAAUGCACAUUGAUUUAAAUAUGCGCAUUGAAUCCUUGAGGUAAAGAGGUGAAACUCAGAUCCCUAAUUUAGAUUUUCUCUCUUUCCUCAUGCAAACAAUGGUGAUAUACGCCUAGUAGACUAAAAAUAUAUCACAUAGCAUGUAGACUUUUACAGAGGGGAAGUUUUUGUUUUUGGUUUUUGGUUUUUGGUUUUUUGGUUUUUUUUAUUUUAUUAGGUGUUUUUCUUUUUCCUUAAGACUUCAUGUUUGGGCACUAUCUAGAAUACCUUGCAAUAAAACAUAAAUUUGUAUUACAUUUAAAAGCCUUUCAAUGGUCCGUUUCAUUACAAAAAUAGCACACACUGGAUAAAAAUAAGAGUAUUCCACUUUAAGUACACUUUAAGCCCUUCCAGAAAAGCUAAAAUAUUGGUACUCUGUUCAGCCAAAGCUGAGAAGGAAUUCUAAGCAGAAUUCUAGUAAAACCCUAUAUUAAAAACUAAAGAUAGAAAUAUAAAAUGAUAGGCUAGAUAAGGAAUAAGUAUUUUUAAAAUAUAAAUAAAUAAACAGAAGAAUUUUGGAACAUACUGGCCUCCCCCCACUCUGUUCAACAGCUUCCGUUCAAAUGUUCCAGUCUGUGCUUCUAUGACAAGAUAGUGUGGAAAGAAAAGCCAAAUCAAAUGAGAAACCCAGUCGCUACAAUGUGUUUAAUCAUUUACAAUGUCUGCCCUUUCACAAUUCAAAUGAUUUUGGGUUGCACAUAACUUUUCCAAGGAGCCAGGUUUUCUGCAGAAUGUUCUUACAUUUUUAACUAAAAAUUCAUUUUCCCCAUUCCCUCUGGAAAAGUCUAAACUUUUCAUUCAAUUCCCUACAGAUUUCUAUACUUUAGGGACUGAAGGAAAAUUUCAUGAAAGUCUUAUGAUGCAAAUUCGGUCAAAUUCUUUAUCACUGCCUGCUUUGGAUGACUUUAUCUCUUUUAAUUAAGAAGGUCACUUAUAGUCAAACAGAGAGACUGUUUGACUGAUUUUGUAAUCAGUAAUGGAAAAAGCUGAAAAGAAUAAUCACCGAAAGGAGUUACUAUAGCUCUUCACACAAAUUCCAUUGCAUAGACCCUUAUAAAAAUAAGCAUCGGUAGCCAAUGGCUGAGUAUAAAGAAAAUAAGUCAGAGCCUAAAGCAGUAUGACAGAUACUUAGGCCUGAACUCAGUGCCUGAGGAAUGUUGGGUUGUCGACAUAGAUUUGCUCUCCUAUUGCUUGAAGGAUACGUUUUACUAUAUUUUCUUUUUUUCUAAGUAUAUUUACUUAUUUUGAUAGAGAGAGAGAGAGAGAGAGAAAACGUGAGAGAGUGGGGGAGGGGCAGAGACAGAAGGAGAGAAAGAGAUGUAGGGCUUGAACCCACAAACCGUGAGCUCAUGACCUGAGUCGAAAUCAACAGCCAGAUGCUUAACCAACUGAGCCACCCAAGUGCCCCUUAUUAUAGUUUCUGUUUUAUUUCCUAUAAAUUUCAUAUAUACAUAUGAUUGCCAAAUUCAGAAUGGUGAUGUCAUUAACUAUGAUUAAC